ensembl:snoRNA SNORA74 Small nucleolar RNA SNORA74
CCCAACUGCAGGCAACAGCUUAGGUUGCAUUGUAUCUAGGCAAGUGUUACACUGAUGGGAGAAAAACAGCUACUAGCUGGCAGGCAUCCUGGGCCUGCUUAAU